rnacentral:rRNA from 1 species
GACGAACGCUGGCGGCGUGCUUAACACAUGCAAGUCGAACGGAAAGGCCCUGCUUUUGUGGGGUGCUCGAGUGGCGAACGGGUGAGUAACACGUGAGUAACCUGCCCUUGACUUUGGGAUAACUUCAGGAAACUGGGGCUAAUACCGGAUAGGAGCUCCUGCUGCAUGGUGGGGGUUGGAAAGUUUCGGCGGUUGGGGAUGGACGCGCGGCUUAUCAGCUUGUUGGUGGGGUAGUGGCUUACCCAGGCUUUGACGGGUAGCCGGCCUGAGAGGGUGACCGGCCACAUUGGGACUGAGAGACGGACCAGACUCCUACGGGAGGCAGCAGUGGGGAAUAUUGCACAAUGGGCGGAAGCCUGAUGCAGCGACGCCGCGUGCGGGAUGACGGCCUUCGGGUUGUAAACCGCUUUCGCCUGUGACGAAGCGUGAGUGACGGUAAUGGGUGAAGAAGCACCGGCUAACUACGUG